GGGGAAUCUUGGACAAUGGGCGCAAGCCUGAUCCAGCCAUGCCGCGUGAGUGAUGAAGGCCUUAGGGUCGUAAAGCUCUUUCGCCAGGGAUGAUAAUGACAGUACCUGGUAAAGAAACCCCGGCUAACUCCGUGCCAGCAGCCGCGGUAAUACGGAGGGGGUUAGCGUUGUUCGGAAUUACUGGGCGUAAAGCGCGCGUAGGCGGACCAGAAAGUUGGGGGUGAAAUCCCGGGGCUCAACCCCGGAACUGCCUCCAAAACUCCUGGUCUAGAGUUCGAGAGAGGUGAGUGGAAUUCCGAGUGUAGAGGUGAAAUUCGUAGAUAUUCGGAGGAACACCAGUGGCGAAGGCGGCUCACUGGCUCGAUACUGACGCUGAGGUGCGAAAGUGUGGGGAGCAAAC
rnacentral:rRNA from 1 species